rnacentral:lncRNA from 1 species
UUUUAAGUUCUAGGUGUGAAACAAAAGCUACAUAAUUACUAACAUCUCUAAGAGAAGAUCUAAUUCUUAUUUCUUGUAUCGAAUCACCAAUUAUUAAUUUUUUGGGGUGAUUGUGGACAUAUCUCUAUUUUCUUGGAAGAUUACCUGUAUCUUGAGGUUGUUCUUGAAUGUUCUGAUCAUUGAUGCUUUCAUCCUCAUGUUUUUCUUCUAAAUGAUCCUUGUUUCGCUCAUUUGAGUAAUCAACGAUGAGCUCUUUCAUUCCAUCUUCUAUGAUA